rnacentral:rRNA from 1 species
AUGUGCCCUGCAAAUUGUCCUUGUGAGUCUACGAACUGGAGGACCCAAAUUAUCUCCUUGAUUGCUCUUGAAGAAGUAGAAAUAGAUGGCUUCAGAGGAGAUGCUCAUGAGCAUGAUUUCUUGAAACUAAUAUUCAGCUGUGCACCAAUUCUUAAAAGAAUGAUUGUGAGGCUGUCAGAUGAGGUCUCGUCAAGUAAUGAUAGAUGCACGGAAAUAUAUGACAUCUUCAGGGGGUAUUCUUCUGUGAAAUGCAAUGUUUAUCUCAGCUCUGGGUUAAUGCAUCGCAGGCAAGGUUGCCGGUUGACAUGA